rnacentral:rRNA from 1 species
GAAUCUUCCACAAUGGACGCAAGUCUGAUGGAGCAACGCCGCGUGAGUGAAGAAGGUUUUCGGACCGUAAAGCUCUGUUGUUGGUGAAGAAGGAUAGAGGUAGUAACUGGCCUUUAUUUGACGGUAAUCAACCAGAAAGUCACGGCUAACUACGUGCCAGCAGCCGCGGUAAUACGUAGGUGGCAAGCGUUGUCCGGAUUUAUUGGGCGUAAAGCGAGCGCAGGCGGAAGAAUAAGUCUGAUGUGAAAGCCCUCGGCUUAACCGAGGAAUUGCAUCGGAAACUGUUUUCUUGAGUGCAGAAGAGGAGAGUAGAACUCCAUGUGUAGCGGUGGAAUGCGUAGAUAUAUGGAAGAAUACCAGUGGCGAAGGCGGCUCUCUGGUCUGCAACUGACGCUGAGGCUCGAAAAGCAUGGGUAGCGAACAGGAUUAGAUAC